rnacentral:tRNA from 1 species
AAGAAAGACCCAAGAACUGCUAAUUCUUGACCCCAUAGCUAACCCCUAUGGCUUUCU